CAUCAGAGACCAGGACCUGGACCCAGCUGUGUGUCCAUGAACAGUAACCGGUCUAUGGAGCCUCCUCUACUCUUCAAAGACGUUGAUCCGUCUGUUGAUACAAGUUCACAUCAGCAGAGAGGAAAGUCUCCUGAACCCAGAUGUUUGUCCAUGAAGAGUGAUUGGUCUAUGGGUCGAUGGUUUAACUUCAACGAUGGACGCCGUUCUUAUGACACAGAAGAGGACCAGGAGAGCUCAGAGGUUCCCACAGGUCCGUCUGCCCAGCAGC